AGUGAACGCUGGCGGUAGGCCUAACACAUGCAAGUCGAACGGCAGCACAGUAAGAGCUUGCUCUUACGGGUAGCGAGUGGCGGACGGGUGAGGAAUACAUCGGAAUCUACUUUUUCGUGGGGGAUAACGUAGGGAAACUUACGCUAAUACCGCAUACGACCUACGGGUGAAAGCAGGGGAUCUUCGGACCUUGCGCGAGUGAAUGAGCCGAUGUCGGAUUAGCUAGUUGGCGGGGUAAAGGCCCACCAAGGCGACGAUCCGUAGCUGGUCUGAGAGGAUGAUCAGCCACACUGGAACUGAGACACGGUCCAGACUCCUACGGGAGGCAGCAGUGGGGAAUAUUGGACAAUGGGCGCAAGCCUGAUCCAGCCAUACCGCGUGGGUGAAGAAGGCCUUCGGGUUGUAAAGCCCUUUUGUUGGGAAAGAAAAGCAGCAGGUUAAUACCCCGCUGUUCUGACGGUACCCAAAGAAUAAGCACCGGCUAACUUCGUG
rnacentral:rRNA from 1 species